rnacentral:lncRNA from 1 species
UUUAUUUUUAAAGCAUCUUUCCCUAAUGUGCCUGCCAUGGUCAAUUGUGAGAAAUAAUAUCCAAUACAUCUGGAGGACACCAUGUUGAGAAUGCUGAUUUAAAGCUUUCCAUAUGUGAUGGAAAAGUGAUAGAUACAUAGGGUUGUUGCUUAUCUCUAAAAAACAUUAAGUUAUCUUUUAAGCAUCUUAUUUGAACACAAAAACUUAACUAACACAUUUUUCUACUACCCACCACAGUGGACUUCUGGGAUUUCUUCUGACUUUAUAUACUAUGAAACUUAAAAGCAGCAUCUCCUCAGGACAGUAUUUAGCUUGGAAUUUCUUAGCAAAGGUUAUCACAGCUGGUCUGUCUCCAUUCUUAUUUGAAAUUGCAGUGAAUGUACCAACUGCCUGCUGUCUUUUGCUGGCUGGAUUUGCCGAAGUCUUGCUUCUCUACAUUGAAAGGACUGGCACAUGAACACUGGCAAGUGAGGAAGAUGAUUCUUCAAUGGGGCUGCUCAAUUUUUGUUUAAGAAUUAGUGAUUAAUGAAGACAUGUAAGCAAACAGCAAGUUACAAGUGCAAUCCCAUGAUGGCUUUCUCAAAAAAAAUAAGUCCUAUUCACAAUAAAACCAAGAAUCAACUACA